AAACCACUUGUAGCAAGCCACACCUAUUGGGGGAGAGGUGAUAAGAUUAUUAAGCUGAAGUAAGGCUGCUAGAAUGGCCUAUAGAAACCGACUUGGACAGUGGAUGGCAGCAGAAGGCCAUUUAUUAACAGAUGCUGCUGGCAGUUUUGUCCUGAUGGUUGGAAUCCUUCACCAAGUAAUUUGUAUCUAAUUACAAAUUGUUUGUAUCUGAACAUAAU
rnacentral:lncRNA from 1 species